AUUGAACGCUGGCGGCAGGCCUAACACAUGCAAGUCGAGCGGAUGAAGGGAGCUUGCUCCUGGAUUCAGCGGCGGACGGGUGAGUAAUGCCUAGGAAUCUGCCUGGUAGUGGGGGAUAACGUCCGGAAACGGGCGCUAAUACCGCAUACGUCCUGAGGGAGAAAGUGGGGGAUCUUCGGACCUCACGCUAUCAGAUGAGCCUAGGUCGGAUUAGCUAGUUGGUGGGGUAAAGGCCUACCAAGGCGACGAUCCGUAACUGGUCUGAGAGGAUGAUCAGUCACACUGGAACUGAGACACGGUCCAGACUCCUACGGGAGGAAGCAGUGGGGAAUAUUGGACAAUGGGCGAAAGCAUGAUCCAGCCAUGCCGCGUGUGUGAAGAAGGUCUUCGGAUUGUAAAGCACUUUAAGUUGGGAGGAAGGGCAGUAAGUUAAUACCUUGCUGUUUUGACGUUACCAACAGAAUAAGCACCGGCUAACUUCGUG
rnacentral:rRNA from 1 species